rnacentral:rRNA from 1 species
GAUGAACGCUGGCGGCGUGCCUAAUACAUGCAAGUCGAGCGAACGGACGAGAAGCUUGCUUCUCUGAUGUUAGCGGCGGACGGGUGAGUAACACGUGGAUAACCUACCUAUAAGACUGGGAUAACUUCGGGAAACCGGAGCUAAUACCGGAUAAUAUUUUGAACCGCAUGGUUCAAAAGUGACAGACGGUCUUGCUGUCACUUAUAGAUGGAUCCGCGCUGCAUUAGCUAGUUGGUAAGGUAACGGCUUACCAAGGCAACGAUGCAUAGCCGACCUGAGAGGGUGAUCGGCCACACUGGAACUGAGACACGGUCCAGACUCCUACGGGAGGCAGCAGUAGGGAAUCUUCCGCAAUGGGCGAAAGCCUGACGGAGCAACGCCGCGUGAGUGAUGAAGGUCUUCGGAUCGUAAAACUCUGUUAUUAGGGAAGAACAUAUGUGUAAGUAACUGUGCACAUCUUGACGGUACCUAAUCAGAAAGCCACGGCUAACUACGUGCCAGCAGCCGCGGUAAUACGUAGGUGGCAAGCGUUAUCCGGAAUUAUUGGGCGUAAAGCGCGCGUAGGCGGUUUUUUAAGUCUGAUGUGAAAGCCCACGGCUCAACCGUGGAGGGUCAUUGGAAACUGGAAAACUUGAGUGCAGAAGAGGAAAGUGGAAUUCCAUGUGUAGCGGUGAAAUGCGCAGAGAUAUGGAGGAACACCAGUGGCGAAGGCGACUUUCUGGUCUGUAACUGACGCUGAUGUGCGAAAGCGUGGGGAUCAAACAGGAUUAGAUACCCUGGUAGUCCACGCCGUAAACGAUGAGUGCUAAGUGUUAGGGGGUUUCCGCCCCUUAGUGCUGCAGCUAACGCAUUAAGCACUCCGCCUGGGGAGUACGACCGCAAGGUUGAAACUCAAAGGAAUUGACGGGGACCCGCACAAGCGGUGGAGCAUGUGGUUUAAUUCGAAGCAACGCGAAGAACCUUACCAAAUCUUGACAUCCUUUGACAACUCUAGAGAUAGAGCUUUCCCCUUCGGGGGACAAAGUGACAGGUGGUGCAUGGUUGUCGUCAGCUCGUGUCGUGAGAUGUUGGGUUAAGUCCCGCAACGAGCGCAACCCUUAAGCUUAGUUGCCAUCAUUAAGUUGGGCACUCUAAGUUGACUGCCGGUGACAAACCGGAGGAAGGUGGGGAUGACGUCAAAUCAUCAUGCCCCUUAUGAUUUGGGCUACACACGUGCUACAAUGGACAAUACAAAGGGCAGCGAAACCGCGAGGUCAAGCAAAUCCCAUAAAGUUGUUCUCAGUUCGGAUUGUAGUCUGCAACUCGACUACAUGAAGCUGGAAUCGCUAGUAAUCGUAGAUCAGCAUGCUACGGUGAAUACGUUCCCGGGUCU